rnacentral:rRNA from 1 species
GUCUAUGGCCAUACCACCCUGAAAGCACCCGAUCUCAUCUGAUCUUGGAAGCUAAGCAGGAUCAGGCCUGGUUAGUACUUGGAUGGGAGAAGUGAAAAUUGCCAUGUUUA